rnacentral:tRNA from 1 species
ACGGCUGUGGUCCAGCGGUAUAAUAACGCUAAAAGACACGACCUUCCCAAGGUUGUUACCCGGGUUCGAAUUGCUGCAAGCGAGCGACGUUUGCACAUCGCAAGUCCCGGCAGCCGUA